rnacentral:pre_miRNA from 1 species
GCAAAACACCCUCCGUUCAACAAAAAGAUGUCUCAAGUUUGUCAAAAAUUGGAUCUAUUUAGAUAUGACUUAGCGUAUGGAUGCAUUUAAAUUUAGUAAAAGCUGAGACAUCUUUUGUUGGACGGAGGAAGUAGGAG